GACGAACGCUGGCGGCGUGCUUAACACAUGCAAGUCGAACGAUGAUGCCCAGCUUGCUGGGUGGAUUAGUGGCGAACGGGUGAGUAACACGUGAGUAACCUGCCCCUGACUCUGGGAUAAGCGUUGGAAACGACGUCUAAUACUGGAUAUGACUGCCGGCCGCAUGGUCUGGUGGUGGAAAGAUUUUUUGGUUGGGGAUGGACUCGCGGCCUAUCAGCUUGUUGGUGAGGUAAUGGCUCACCAAGGCGACGACGGGUAGCCGGCCUGAGAGGGUGACCGGCCACACUGGGACAGAGACACGGACCAGACUCCUACGGAAGGCAGCAGUGGGGAAUAUUGCACAAUGGGCGAAAGCCUGAUGCAGCAACGCCGCGUGAGGGAUGACGGCCUUCGGGUUGUAAACCUCUUUUAGUAGGGAAGAAGCGAAAGUGACGGUACCUGCAGAAAAAGCACCGGCUAACUACGUGCCAGCCGCCGCAGUAA
rnacentral:rRNA from 1 species